rnacentral:rRNA from 1 species
UGCAGUCGAACGGUAGCAGGAUGUGCUUGCACAUCGCUGACGAGUGGCGGACGGGUGAGUAAUGCUUGGGAACUUGCCUUUGCGAGGGGGAUAACAGUUGGAAACGACUGCUAAUACCGCAUAAUGUCUACGGACCAAACGGGGCUUUUAGCUCCGGCGCAAAGAGAGGCCCAAGUGAGAUUAGCUAGUUGGUGAGGUAAAGGCUCACCAAGGCGACGAUCUCUAGCUGUUCUGAGAGGAAGAUCAGCCACACUGGGACUGAGACACGGCCCAGACUCCUACGGGAGGCAGCAGUGGGGAAUAUUGCACAAUGGGGGAAACCCUGAUGCAGCCAUGCCGCGUGUGUGAAGAAGGCCUUCGGGUUGUAAAGCACUUUCAGUUGUGAGGAAAGGUUGGUAGUUAAUACCUGCUAGCCGUGACGUUAACAACAGAAGAAGCACCGGCUAACUCCGUGCCAGCAGCCGCGGUAAUACGGAGGGUGCGAGCGUUAAUCGGAAUUACUGGGCGUAAAGCGCACGCAGGCGGUUUGUUAAGCUAGAUGUGAAAGCCCCGGGCUCAACCUGGGAUGGUCAUUUAGAACUGGCAGACUAGAGUCUUGGAGAGGGGAGUGGAAUUCCAGGUGUAGCGGUGAAAUGCGUAGAUAUCUGGAGGAACAUCAGUGGCGAAGGCGACUCCCUGGCCAAAGACUGACGCUCAUGUGCG